rnacentral:rRNA from 1 species
AAUGAACGCUGGCGGCGCGCCUAAUACAUGCAAGUCGAGCGAGAAGACGUAGCAAUACGUUUGUAAAGCGGCGAACGGGUGAGGAAUACAUGGGUAACCUACCCUAGAGUGGGGAAUAACUAGCCGAAAGGUUAGCUAAUACCGCGUACGCUCCUUGGACUUCGGUUCAGGGAGGAAAGCGAUACCGAGGGUAUCGCGCUCUUGGAUGGGCUCAUGUCCUAUCAGCUUGUUGGUGAGGUAACGGCUCACCAAGGCUUCGACGGGUAGCUGGUCUGAGAGGACGAUCAGCCACACUGGCACUGCGACACGGGCCAGACUCC